GAUGAACGCUAGCUACAGGCUUAACACAUGCAAGUCGAGGGGCAGCAUGAACUUAGCUUGCUAAGUUUGAUGGCGACCGGCGCACGGGUGAGUAACACGUAUCCAACCUGCCGAUGACUCGGGGGAUAGCCUUUCGAAAGAAAGAUUAAUACCCGAUGGCAUAGUUCUUCCGCAUGGUAGAACUAUUAAAGAAUUUCGGUCAUCGAUGGGGAUGCGUUCCAUUAGGCAGUUGGCGGGGUAACGGCCCACCAAACCGACGAUGGAUAGGGGUUCUGAGAGGAAGGUCCCCCCACAUUGGUACUGAGACACGGACCAA
rnacentral:rRNA from 1 species